CUCUUCGGGGAUGAUUAAACCGGCGCACGGGUGAGUAACACGUGAGUGACCUGCCUUUUAGACUGGAACAACUUACCGAAAGGUGAGCUAAUGCCGGAUGAGUUAUAUAAGUGCAUGUUUAUAUAGGAAAAGUUGGGGAGACCUGACGCUGAAAGAUGGACUCGCGUCCCAUUAGCUAGUUGGUAGGGUAAUGGCCUACCAAGGCGACGAUGGGUAGCCGGCCUGAGAGGGUGGCCGGCCACACUGGGACUGAGACACGGCCCAGACUCCUACGGGAGGCAGCAGUGGGGAAUUUUGCGCAAUGCUCGUAAGAGUGACGCAGCGACGCCGCGUGAAUGACGAAGGCCUUCGGGUCGUAAAGUUCUUUCGACAGGGAAGAAAAUGCCUAUAAGUAACUGUGUAUGUAUUGACGGUACCUGUAUAAGCAGCCCCGGCUAACUCCGUGCCAGCAGCCGCGGUA
rnacentral:rRNA from 1 species